GGUGCUUGCAUCAUGAUUUACAUUUGAGUGAGUGGCGAACUGGUGAGUAACACGUGGGAAACCUGCCCAGAAGCGGGGGAUAACACCUGGAAACAGAUGCUAAUACCGCAUAACAACUUGGACCGCAUGGUCCGAGUUUGAAAGAUGGCUUCGGCUAUCACUUUUGGAUGGUCCCGCGGCGUAUUAGCUAGAUGGUGGGGUAACGGCUCACCAUGGCAAUGAUACGUAGCCGACCUGAGAGGGUAAUCGGCCACAUUGGGACUGAGACACGGCCCAAACUCCUACGGGAGGCAGCAGUAGGGAAUCUUCCACAAUGGACGAAAGUCUGAUGGAGCAACGCCGCGUGAGUGAAGAAGGGUUUCGGCUCGUAAAACUCUGUUGUUAAAGAAGAACAUAUCUGAGAGUAACUGUUCAGGUAUUGACGGUAUUUAACCAGAAAGCCACGGCUAACUACGUGCCAGCAGCCGCGGUAAUACGUAGGUGGCAAGCGUUGUCCGGAUUUAUUGGGCGUAAAGCGAGCGCAGGCGGUUUUUUAAGUCUGAUGUGAAAGCCUUCGGCUCAACCGAAGAAGUGCAUCGGAAACUGGGAAACUUGAGUGCAGAAGAGGACAGUGGAACUCCAUGUGUAGCGGUGAAAUGCGUAGAUAUAUGGAAGAACACCAGUGGCGAAGGCGGCUGUCUGGUCUGUAACUGACGCUGAGGCUCGAAAGUAUGGGUAGCAAACAGGAUUAGAUACCCUGGUAGUCCAUACCGUAAACGAUGAAUGCUAAGUGUUGGGAGGGUUUCCGCCCUUCAGUGCUGCAGCUAACGCAUUAAGCAUUCCGCCUGGGGGAGUACGGCCCGCAAGGCUGAAACUCAAAAGGAAUUGACGGGGGGCCCGCACAAACGGUGGGAGCAUGUGGUUUUAAUUCGAAACUACCCCGAAGAACCUUACCAGGUCUUGACAUACU
rnacentral:rRNA from 1 species